AAGUGUUAUAGCUCUUUUAGAAUUUGUCUAGUAUGUUUUCUGACUUUUUUUUUUGCACACACCC